rnacentral:misc_RNA from 1 species
CGCCAAUCGAGCCUGGCUCGGUAUUGGGCGUCGCGGGCUGCGAAGCCCGCGCGCCUCAAAGUCUCACCGGCUGAGCGACCCUCCUCUAAGCGUUGUGGAAACUAUUCGCGGCGGGGCGGGUGGCGCGGCCGUUAAAUACCCCAUCAAA